rnacentral:rRNA from 1 species
CACGGGGGGAGCAAGCGUUGUUCGGAAUCACUGGGCGUAAAGGGCGUGUAGGCGGUCAGGUAAGUGGGAUGUGAAAUGCCCCGGCUCACCCGGGGACCGGCAUCCCAAACUGCCUGGCUUGAGUAUGGGAGAGGAUGAGGGAAUUCCUGGUGUAGCGGUGAAAUGCGUAGAUAUCAGGAGGAACACCGGUGGCGAAGGCGCUCAUCUGGCCCAAUACUGACGCUGAGGCGCGAAAGCUAGGGGAGCAAACGGG